rnacentral:lncRNA from 1 species
GGGGAAGAUUGUUGAAUUUUGAAUUUUGAUGAUGAAAUCAAUUGGUAAAUUGUUUGAUCCAAUCUAUAUAUUGAGAAAAAUAUACAGGAUUAACUACUAUAACGAUCAAGGCAUAAAACAAAACGAAAUACCGAAGUCAAGAUUGAGAAUUCUUUGGGAGUUCGAGAGUUCAUCGGGAGUCCGGAGGUUCGUUGGAAGUGCCGCCAGAAUUUGCCAAGAAGAAGCUCAUCGGAACUCGCUAAGAAGAUCAUCGUGAAGUCCAAGAGCUUGCCGGGAGUCCGCUGGAAGAUUGCCGAAAGAUCGUCGGAAGUCCGCCGGAAGAUCGUCGGAAGCUCACUGGAAGAAACCUAGACAUAUCAGACUUGUUUUGUUUAGUGUAUGCCUUAAAUGAAGUUAGCUUAUAAUUAGGGUUAGGUUUGGGAGGUAAUCCCAUUAAACCUAUUACGAGCCAACUAGACCCGUAAUUGGACUGGUUUGGGCUGGAUUCAAAGUCCAAACAGGUUGCUAAACCUUGUCUGACGCUGGCACCACCAUACUAGGGCGAUGGAACCGCCCAGGGCUCAAUCACCAAGAAGCCUGGGCAGUGGUACCAUCGAUAAUUAUUGCUGCCAAGUGGUGGUACCGUCCUGUUAGGCGGUGGUACCAUCCUGUCAAGCGAUGGUACCACUAGAGCCCAGUAUUCGAGACUCUGUUAGGUGGUAGUACCGCCAGGCCGGGAAGUGGUACCACCCAAUGUCAAAGUGUCAAGCAGUGGUACCGCUAGUACCCCGAAAACCCGGGAUGAGACACUUUUAGACUCUAAUUUUGAAGCCAUUAUGGCCUAUAAAUAUCCCAUUCCUUUCUGCAUGAAAGUAUAUCAAACUGUGAAUAAAAUCUUAAAGUGUUGAGGUGUGAAAGAUUUACAAAAGUGAUGUGUCCUCCUCCUCCCUCUCUAUGUUUUAUGAUCAUUGAAGUGAGGUGCAAGACUUGUAAGGGUUCUUUCCUAAACCCAUGAAAAGGAGAAAGUAUUGUAAGAGAGUGGUUAGUCUUCACCCAUUAAAGGAAGACCAUUAGUGGACGCCGGUGACCUCGACGGAGGAGAAAUCGGAAGUGGACGUCAGUCACAAUGACCGAACCAUUAUAAAUCCGAUGUGUUCUUUCCUUACUGCUUUCUUUCAUUACUUAUCUACACUCUAGGCUUUACAUUUAUCCUAAGUUAUUACUUUCAUUACUUUUCGAUACGAGCUUUGACGAAACAAUUUUAUCAAACGAAACUUUCCAAUCAACAUAAUUUUUAUCACUGCACUAAUCCCCUCCCCCCUCUUAGUGACGUAUUGAUCCUAACAAGCUUAGGGUGGUAUUUUAUAUUUUCCCUAUUGAUUAGAUUUUUUUGAAAUUACAAGAACAUUUGCAUAAAUAUGUUUAGCCUCAGGUCUAGUGUCAGUGCCAUACAAGACUGUUUUAACUAUCAUGGUCUUCAUGACAAUAAUUUUCAAGAAAAGUUACUCUUUGAAAGUCUAGUUCUACUUUUUCGGUUGUCUAUCAUGUCCUACCGAAUCUUUAAGAAAAUAUGUACAUGCCAAAUUCUCAUGAAGAAUUUGUUCACUUUUGUUUGUAUUUUGCAAUAUGGAAAAUUAGUUCCACGUCCAACCCAAUAGGUAUUAUGUUUAAUCAUAUAUACCCUAACAUGUAUCAAGAAGCAAAUAUACACAAAUCUAAAUCUUUAAGGUUACACGUAAAAUCUAGAGGGACAAAUAUGGUAUUAUAAAGGUUUGGCAAGUAUAUAUACAAAAAUUUGAAGAUAAGCAAGCAAAAUACAAAGUAACAAGGCUUCUUAUGAAUCAACAAACACAGUAGAAAGACAUACCCUAGGUGUUAACAAUGGUUCUGCUGUCGUUGAUGACGAGAACAAUAACUACUCCAGGGGUCUGAAUAAGGGUGCAU